GCAGUUUGUAUGUAAUAGUCUCAACACUGCAUGCACGUCAUGCACUUUCCACGCACUUUACAAAGUACUCUGUCCAGAAUCUCACAUGGGCCUCGUAACAACCGAGACCCCUUCCAGCCAGAUUGGAGGCACCCAGAGUAGGGUCUGGGGUGAUGCAGGCUCUUGCUCAGGACUCUGGGAACCCUUUAAGGGCCUGCUUGAACUCAGGAGAAGUUGGUGGCUCAGCCAGCAGUCUCUGUCCCCAUUCUCUGUCAGCGGUGAUAUCACACCCUUGUGAUGUGACUCGUUUUUCUCUUUUUCCCCUGACUGGUUUUUGGUUUUUACUCUUCCAUUGUGAUUUAUCCCAAUUACAUGGAAGGAAUUUAGCUAAAUUAAAAUUAAAUUUGCAGUCAUGAAGCACGAAUUAAUUUUCUUUCUUUCUUUCUUUCUUUUUUUUUUGAGACAGGGUCUCACUCUGUUGCCCAGGCUGGAGUACAGUGGUGCGAUCUCAGCUCACUGCAACCUCCGCCUCCCGGGUUUAAGCUAUUCUCCUCCUUCAGCCUCCCAAGCAGCUGAGACUACAGGCACACGCCACCACGCCCAGCUUUUGUAUUUUUAGUAGAGAUGGGGUUUCACCAUGUUGGCCAGGCUGGUCUCAAACUCCUAACCUGAAGUGAUCGACCACUUGGGCUCCCAAAGCGUUGGGAUUACAGGCGUGAGCCACCACGCCUGGCCUCUUCUAUUGUUUUGCUUACCCAACUCCCCAACCUUUUUCUUCUUUCUGCUGAUAAUUAAUUAUGUAUUUUCAAGACAUAUCUGUUUUCAACUUCUAGAAUUUUGUUCAAAGUUGGGUUUUGCUAGUAUUUUUAGUUAAUUUUAUCUGAAAUACUGAUUUAAAAUCAAAACCUUUACUGUUUCAGCAAUUACACUGUAGUAUUUGAUGUGAGAGUGCCUUAUGUUUACUAGAAAUGUUUACAAAUGAAUUAAAUAUUGGAUUAUAUUUUCUGAUUAAGGCCAGAAAAUUUAUUUUAAAAACUUGCUUUCUUCUUCAGUGACAGAAAAUCUGGUUCUCUUGCACUAAUAUGUGAAUUUAUGGACAUGAAUAUUUAUGAGCUAAUACGAGGGAGAAGAUACCCAUUAUCAGAAAAAAAAAUUAUGCAUUAUAUGUACCAGUUAUGUAAGUCCCUGGAUCAUAUUCACAGAAAUGGAAUAUUUCACAGAGAUGUAAAACCAGAAAAUAUACUAAUAAAGGUUGUAAAAAAUGGUUUAUUUAAUAAAUGCCAUCAACAUAACUGACUGCACCUGGAAGAAAAUAAUAGAAAGCACCAUUUUCACACUUCAGACAAAAAUGAACCCUAUUCAGACGGCCGUUCAAACCUUCUAGAGGGAAAUGUGGCAGAGGCAAGAUUUGAGCUCAGGAUGUCCUGAAAUUAGCGGACUUUGGCUCCUGCCGGAGUGUCUAUUCCAAGCAGCCGUACACAGAAUACAUCUCCACCCGCUGGUACCGGGCCCCGGAGUGUCUCCUCACCGACGGGUUCUACACGUACAAGAUGGACCUGUGGAGCGCCGGCUGUGUGUUCUACGAGAUCGCCAGUCUGCAGCCCCUCUUUCCUGGAGUAAAUGAACUGGACCAAAUCUCAAAAAUCCACGAUGUUAUCGGCACACCUGCUCAGAAGACCCUCACCAAGUUCAAACAGUCGAGAGCUAUGAAUUUUGAUUUUCCUUUUAAAAAGGGAUCAGGAAUACCUCUACUGACAACCAAUUUGUCCCCACAAUGCCUCUCCCUCUUGCACGCAAUGGUGGCCUACGAUCCCGAUGAGAGAAUCGCCGCCCACCAGGCCCUGCAGCACCCCUACUUCCAAGAACAGAGGAAAACAGAGAAGCGGGCUCUGGGCAGCCACAGAAAAGCUGUCUUUCCGGAGCACCCUGUGGCACCGGAACCACUCAGUAACAGCUGCCAGAUUUCCAAGGAGGGCAGAAAGCAGAAACAGUCCCUAGAGCAAGAGGAGGACCAUCCCAAGAGACAAGGACCAGCCUAUGUCAUGGAACUGCCCAAACUAAAGCUUUCGGGAGUGGUCAAACUGUCGUCUUACUCCAGCCCCACGCUGCAGUCCGUGCUUGGAUCUGGAACAAAUGGAAGAGUGCCGGUGCUGAGACCCUUGAAGUGCAUCCCUGCGAGCAAGAAGACAGAUCCGCGGAAGGACCUUAAGCCUGCCCCGCAGCAGUGUCGCCUGCCCACCAUAGUGCGGAAAGGCGGAAGAUACUGAGCAGCACCGUCGUCUCGACUUCCGGAGGCAACACCAAACCCGAUCGGGCCAGGCCUGAGCGAUCUGCUUCUGAGACGCCACGGAGGGCUGGGGAUGCGCCUGCGUCCGUUUCGCGCUGGCCGGGGCUCUGGGUGCUGCCCUGCGCCCUGCCGCACUCGCGGCCCGCGCAGCUGCCUAGGAUGUUCUGGGCUAAUAUAUUUGUAAAACCACCGCAUUCUAGGGUUUUCUUUCAUUUUCGUUAAGAAUUUGGGGCAGGAAAUAUUUUGUAAUUUUGUAUAUGAAUCAAAACAAACGAGCAGGCAUUUCUGUGAUGCGUUGGGCGUGGUUGGAAGGUGGGUUCUGCGUGUCCCCUCCCAGCGCUGCUGGUCGGUCGUGGAGCGCCACCACGUCUUACCAGUGACGCAACUGACACCCCUGACUUUUAUUAAAGAAUAAGCUGUCGUUACAGUAUUGCA
rnacentral:sRNA from 1 species